rnacentral:misc_RNA from 1 species
GCUUCUAUUUUCUCCUCCGUUUUCUUCUGAGAACAUGGAAGCUACCGCAAUGCGACCAAACGCUGCCAAGCUUCUGGUGAACUGCUCAACGCCGGUGUCAUUUCUUCAGCCGCCGUCUGCUGCCGGAGUUGUCUUCCUCGUUCCAAAAUAUGUUCGAUUGACUUCCUCAUUUAAGACGUUCAUGAUUGCCCGAGCUUCCGACCCUAAAACUGACCAAGCAAGUCCGAGCACUGAUGAACCUGGCCUUCCUUUCCUACCGCAGGAGGAUUCGAAUUUUUUGGUGAAACUGGGAGUAGGUUCAGUGGCGGGAGGAGCAGCGAUAAAGUACGGAAGUGUAAUUUUCUCAGAGAUAACAACACCAAACAUUUCAUUAGCUCUGUUUAUGAUAACAGCUCCGAUGAUUGUUGCGGUGGUGCUAUUAUUCUUACAAAGCCGUACAGAUUCAACUUCUGCGUGAACAAAGCUCUUCUUCUUCUGUACUAA